CGGGGUGCAGCAGGCGCGAAAACUUUACAAUGCUGGCAACAGCGAUAAGGGGACCUCGAGUGCCAGGAUACAAUCUUGGCUGUCGCGAUGCCUAAAAAGUAUUGCAUAGCAAGGGCCGGGCAAGACCGGUGCCAGCCGCCGCGGUAACACCGGCGGCUCGAGUGGUAACCGCUAUUAUUGGGUCUAAAGGGUCUGUAGCCGGCCGGAUAAGUCUUUUGGGAAAUCCAGCUGCUCAACAGUUGGGCUUUCAGAAGAUACUGUUCGGCUCGAGACCGGGAGAGGUGAGAGGUACUUCAGGGGUAGGGGUGAAAUCUUGUAAUCCUUGAAGGACCACCAGUGGCGAAGGCGUCUCACCAGAACGGAUCUGACGGCAAGGGACGAAAGCUAGGGGCACGAACCGGAUUAGAUACCCGGGUAGUCCUAGCCGUAAACGAUACUCGCUAGGUGUCAGCCACGGUGCGACCGUGGUUGGUGCCGUAGGGAAGCCGUGAAGCGAGCCACCUGGGAAGUACGGCCGCAAGGCUGAAACUUAAAGGAAUUGGCGGGGGAGCAC
rnacentral:rRNA from 1 species